rnacentral:misc_RNA from 1 species
UAAUAAGUGUUUUAUGGCACUUUUUAAAUCCAUAUCCACCUUGUGUGCAAUGUCAGUCGAUCUUCUUCAUGGAGAUCGACCAAACAUCAACCUUUAUCCUUUUAACUCUCUGUCUUAAAAAUAUUAUGAAUAAACAAUUCAAAAUA